rnacentral:tRNA from 1 species
CGCCCGUAAUGGGGGAAAGCGGGCCGCAGGCCCAGGCGCAACACCCUGGUGGACCGGAAAUCCAGGCGCAAAGCCUCACUCACGAUGAAUCUGCCGCUGUUUGCGCCUGAAUCGAUGAAUACAACCGGCUGCUUCAGCGUUGCCUUAGGAUGAGCUUUCACAUAAUCAGCCAGAUCACCAGGACCAAUGGAACCACCCAAGCCGUCGCUCAGCGGGCCGCCCUUCGAACCGUGGCCUAGUACUGCCCUUGAAAACGCAGGGGUUGAUGAGUGUGCGCAUCUCUCCCGCGCGAAGCGCCGCCUCAGCCGCGCUUCUCAGGCUCAGUGAUUUGCCCCAUGUCAGGUGGUGAGAGCGCCACUGCACGUCGCUAUCGGACCCGGUCAACUCGAGCAGCAUUCCGACCUGAUCUGUAUGGAAGUACCUGACGCAAGAUCGCGGCUUGCCUGACGUGUCUGCACCUUUCGCGCUGCCGGACAUGUGUACAUGGCUUGCAUGGUACGUCGCAGUAUGCGACUUGCUGCUCGUGAUGUCCCGGUCGUACGGCUGAUCGGGAUUGUAACUAUGGGCCGAUCUUGCGAUCUGCAUCAGAUUUUCGAUUCCCGUCAUUGAUUGAUGUUUCACUUACCGAUUUCGGCCGUGGCCCUUCGAGUGUAUAACCCAUUCCAGACCGCCGCCGUUGACAAUCUAAUCGAGUCAUCGUGCGCUAAGCUGAGAUAUGCGCUUGACGACUCGGUACCACUUGGCCGCACUUACGGCCUGUUCACCCGCUGUUCGGCAGGCAUCUCACAAACCCGACACGCGAUUGCGGAUUCGCGGAUCCUGCAUCGCAAACGCCGCGUAAACUGAAAAAGGCUAGCCUGCGCUAGCCUUCUGAUCACUUUGGCCCGCCCUACACGACUCGAACGUGUGACCUACGGCUUAGAAGGCCGUUGCUCUAUCCAGCUGAGCUAAGGGCGG